GAUGAACGCUGGCGGCGUGCCUAAUACGUGCAAGUCGAGCGAACGGACGAGAAGCUUGCUUCUCUGAUGUUAGCGGCGGACGGGUGAGUAACACGUGGAUAACCUACCUAUAAGACUGGGAUAACUUCGGGAAACCGGAGCUAAUACCGGAUAAUAUUUUGAACCGCAUGGUUCAAAAGUGAAAGACGGUCUUGCUGUCACUUAUAGAUGGAUCCGCGCUGCAUUAGCUAGUUGGUAAGGUAACGGCUUACCAAGGCAACGAUGCAUAGCCGACCUGAGAGGGUGAUCGGCCACACGGGAACUGAGACACGGUCCAGACUCCUACGGGAGGCAGCAGUAGGGAAUCUUCCGCAAUGGGCGAAAGCCUGACGGAGCAACGCCGCGUGAGUGAUGAAGGUCUUCGGAUCGUAAAACUCUGUUAUUAGGGAAGAACAUAUGUGUAAGUAACUGUGCACAUCUUGACGGUACCUAAUCAGAAAGCCACGGCUAACUACGUG
rnacentral:rRNA from 1 species